ACCAUGGGCAUUUCUACUAGGACUGAAUCAAAACAGCCUGUGAAACCAGUUGCCAAGCCACUCUGCUGAUGGGAAAUUAGCCUCACCCACUGUUUGUUAUUAAAUGGAAGAGCUAGAAGAGCAAAAUGGUGAUCACAUCACUUUUUAAAAUUAUGAUGAUGUUUGGAGGUGGCUUUACAAUGACAAUAAGGAAAGGGUGAAACCUCUAACCAGCUGAGUCAUGAUUCCUAGAAACCUCGAAUGUUUGUUGUUUUUUUUUUGAGCUUUGGAAAUGAUCCCAAAAUUUGUGACUCUUCAGCUGGCCUGCAUGGGGCUGUUUCCUUCUGGUGAAGAACCUGGAGCCAUGCAGAAGCUGAUCUCUGGGAAGUAUGUGCAGAAAGCACCCUAGAGAGAUGCAACACAGCAGAAAUGGAACCGCUGCGAUUGCAAAAGUUGAUCACCCAUUGCAGAGCACAUCUAACAUAGCAGCAAACAUAUCUUUUGGAAACAGCCCAAUGAUCCCUCUGCCAAAUCCAGGCUUUGAGUGUUUGCCCAAGUAAGAAAGAAGCAGAAAAAUAACCACAAGUGAAGACAUGAGUGCUUCCCUCAGAUCCAGGAAGAAAACAGAAUCUUUGCUGACCUGGGCAGGAGGCAGCUGAGCUGAACGGCACUGGGUAACAUCCAGUCCAGCCUAGCUCCCUCAAAAGAUGCAGUGUAAUUGGGAACUCUGACACCUUGUUGAAACGUGAGGACAGCUGGACACAAAGAAAACUUUUUCUAGGCUUGAUGGUGAGCACUGUGUGUCCAGACAGGCUUUGGAGAAAAUCGUAACAAAUGCCAGUUCUAAAGAGGAUCUCUUACCUUUCAAGGCUGGUGUUAGGUUUCAAAAUCAGAUUUAUUUCAAUACUUGAUUUUUUGAAGAACAGAUCCUCUGUUGCUCCCUUGCUACCUUUCCAAACAGGACUUCAUUUGCAGGUAUGGACUGUCACUUACAGGUAACAGGAACAAUCUUCUAUCAAGAGCUUUAUUACCUCUAAAGAUGGAUAUUUACUAAGCAAGGUAGAGCUUCUGCAUUUUUGUAACGCAUAUUUAAAGAGUAGUUAAGCAAGUCAUGUUUCUUUGAGUUGAACUGACAUGAGAUCUCUAACACUUCACCCAGGCACAGUGCCUAUUGCAGAAAGCAGUUUGAUCAGUACAAUGUCUUUCAUAGAUAGCAUUCUAUGUUGUCAGUACUGAUUCUACUGUUUUGGUGCCUAGUCAAUCUAAAGAGUGAUUCUUGUUCUAAAGACUUUGAAAACUAAAACUUAAGAUAGCCAGUCCUGUGGAUAGACCUCUGCCUGAACACCUGCAAGCCUUUGUGCUAUACAAAAAGUUGGUUCUUGAAGCCUGUUCUGGUUUGAAGUGCAGUCAGUGCUGGUUAAAAAUUAAACAGCACAUCUGAUAACAAAGCUCAAGAGUUGUCCUUCUGCUGAUUCUUUGGUAAAUAGUCUACUUUGUUACUUGUUUGGGUUUUGGUCCAAAUCAAUCUGUUUGGACACAUCUCUCACUGUGAUAAUUCACAUGUGAUUUCAGGUUUCUUGACUUAAUGAAGCUGAAAUCGCAUCAUUUGUCUUUGAAUGUACAUGUAUAUACUUCUUGGGUAGCAAAGCUCUACCAAAUUUUUAUACAUUUAGUUGGUAACUUACACUAACAGGCUGCAAUAUCAUGCUUAUCUUGUGUGUUUCUUUGUUUUGAUUUUUUUUUUUUUUUUUUUUUUUUUUUUUUUAUUCAGAAGCAAAUAGCACAGAAAUAGAUUGGCUUGACUGAAGGAGACAAGCCUGUUCUGGUGCCUAGAAACUAGCUUUGGCUGCUGCUUGAAUACAGAUAUUUGUCUAGGUGAUAGGCUUAAAGUUCUGUGUCUUCCUACUUAAGGCCUCACAGAGAAUUUUUUUUUUUCCCUAAGGAGACAAAGUAAGCCUGUCUUGGUCUGUUUUCUUGCCAUCUUUCUGUUUUGAACACUUAGUGGGGUUUAGAAGCAAUAAGCUUCCCAAAAAGCAGGAGUUAAUACGGACAGUCCCUCCACCCACACAGUUCAAAGAGGAGCCGUGUUUUGUCCUGCAUUCCCUGCAGCAUGGUGCAGCCACCUCAGUAUGGCCACAGGUAACUAUGAACCUGGUCCCAUGCUUCAAAAGGUCACUUUAAUCCAUUCCUGAUGACAGACGCCAGCCUGUUUAGCUAAUUUAGCUGUUCUCAGAGUUACUUCCUCUAUAAGCAAGUCUCCCUAAUGUGGUGAAUCACUGAAAGUGAAGAAGCAAGUCUAAAAUAGGGGAGUUUAAAAAACUAUUGUAUCCUUCUCUUAAUUAAAGGUUUGGAGUGAGGCAUGUAGAUGGAAAGAAGAGAUAAUGAACUUCUCAUUUUAAAGGGGGAAGGAAAAUCAGCUACAUGUAAUCUUGGGUUUAAACAUGUCUGGCAGAAUCCCAGCCUGGAACUGCAAGCCUCCUGUGUGCUCCAUGAGCCCAGGGAGGGCACCUGGUCCACACCAGGAUGCUGAUAUUCAUUUAUCUGUUUACAUGGAUGUCUAUUUCUAUUUUCUUUUGAAUUGCAUACAGUUGAAUUUCAGGCUUUCCAGGAUUCAUAUAGAAAACUUAAUUUAGCUGCAAGUAACAAAACAAGAAACUAGAAAUUCUUCAAAAUAGUCCUGUGACUAUCCUACUGGAAGGACAUUGAAGGUGUAAUAUGAAUAAAGAAACAAUCAUAAGAAAGAUCUCUCUCUCAAGUGUCAAGAGGUCUAUAGGACUACGAUCACCACGGAAAUUCAAUCUGCCUGCUGCUGCUUCUGCAGUGGAGGAGUCGAGCUGUCUCGUUCAGGCUGGUAGCAACAAUAUCACAUUUGCCAUGGCCAUAGAGAAUGUGCAGUAGCUUUUCAGAUCUAUGCUAACAGAGUGGCAAUUCUUGCAGUGUUUGAAAGGCUGAAAAAAAGAGAAGGCUAUGCAUUGAUACCCAUUUGAGCCUCUUAAAAUUCUUGUGUCUUCAGUUAAGCUUUCGCAGCCCUGUUUGACUCUGCUGUAAGUCAGAACUUCCCACUUCACCACAGGUUUUUAUGGCUUACCUUGCCUUCUUGGACAAGCUGCAGAGAAAUCUGUGACUUAUCACAUUGAGAAGCAAGGAGAGCCUCUUUUGGCAGUGACAGACUAGGCUAAAAGCAGCAAGAAGACACUGAUACUGGUACUUCCUUGUUGAGAAGAUCCUUCUACCAAGCACGGGUGAAAAUGAAAAUGUACAUCAGGCUGGUUGCACAGAGCCAAAACGAAGCCAGCUCUUAUACUGCUCAUCAUUAAACAAUAAAAUACGUCCUUGCUUGGGAAUGUUUGGAAACAGCAAGAGGGGAAUCUUACCCUGCAGAAACUGGAGAUGUGGUGUGUCAUGGGUGUUCUGCACUGAGAUCCCAAAAACCCCAUUGAUGAAUUUGUUGUUCAGGAAGAAGCUCAUAGGCAAGGUGAGGUAGCAUCCUGCAAGUGCACAAAAUGCUUGAAUUGCAGAAAUUGCCCAGCAUGCUGAAAGCUGAGUUACUGUAGGGUAGGUUUCCUUUGGAUCAGUUGUCUCACUUAGUGCUCAGAGCAAAGAAGCUCCGGUGUCUUAUCUGCUCCUCAUGGCACCUUCAUGCCCUUCACAAAGCCUACAGUCAUCUCAGGUCUGCUGAAACUGGUGUACCUACCUCUGACAGCCACAACUCCACUUGUGCUGUAAAAGAAAGUGGCCUGCAUAAGAAAGGUCAAACACUGUGCAAAACAAACAAAAUAAAAUAUUUGUUGUACAAGGAAGGGAUACCAAAUACAAGAAAUCAGUGAGAAACAGGCUUCAGUAAAGAGAUGCUGCAAUUGUGGUCCUGGUGGCCACCACUCACCAUAGCCUUUCCCUUAGGCCUUUUACAAAAGUGGAUACUUAACUGAAAAUUCAGAUUAACAAGGCCCAAGUGCACAACCCCUUCUCUUUCUUUGAUGCUUUGCAAAAAAUUCUUUAAUUUCUCCUGAGUUUGACUUGUUUUAUAGAAAUAUAAAAUAUUAUGGUGGCAGACCUGUGCCACCUCUAACGCUGUGGAAGAACAGGUUGGAUUUUUUUUCUAGUGUUUUCAGUGGGGAAAAAAAAAUAAUAUAUAUAUAUAUAUAUGUAUACACACACACAUAUUAACAGAGUUUGGAGGGAUUUCAUCCUGAAAUGAUUUUACCUGCAAGUAAAUAAGAAAACAAAAGCCCACUGAGUUUUUAGUUUUUAUUGGCAAAAAGUAUUUCAGUGGGAAACACCAGGUAAAAUACUAUUGUAUUUUGAUCAACACUUUCCAUAGAAAAUGUUCAAUAAAUGCUAACUGCUAAUAUCUUUGCUCAAAUGUACCAUAAAAAAACAAUGUAAUAAUUAAGUACUGAAUGGAAUGUUGGUCUCUGGUAUUUUAUACUUAAGACUCUUAUUGCCUUGGAAGGUAAUAUAUAUAUAUAUAUAAUAGCAUCCUGAUGAAACCCUGCUGUGUUAUAGAGAAAGCUGCAGUGUUAAAUUUUCAAAACUAUCAUAAAUGUAAUUACCUCCUGCUGAGAAUCUAAAUGCUUAUUCAUAGCACCAUUACUUUCAGUAAUUAAGUCUGUAAUUUCCUUCAGACUAUGAUUCGUUCCUUCCUAAAUCAUAAAAGCCAGGCAAAAAAAAAAAAUUAUAUUUGAUCAGUUAAUGUAUAGAAAUUUCAUUAAGUUUGCUCCAUGCCAGAAUGUACAUUAAAUCUUCACUGUUUGAAGUGAAUCAAAGCAACUUUUAAAUUCUGCCUGAGGUGGUAGGGAGCAGUGAGGAAGGAGGAUGACCCACUCAAGGGAGGGGUGUGUGUGUGUAUUUCUGUCUGUCUA